UACGAGGGGGGCAAGCGUUGUUCGGAAUUAUUGGGCGUAAAGGGUGCGUAGGCGGUUCGGUAAGUCUUAUGUGAAAUCUUCGGGCUCAACUCGAAGUCUGCAUGAGAAACUGCCGGGCUUGAGUGUGGGAGAGGUGAGUGGAAUUUCCGGUGUAGCGGUGAAAUGCGUAGAUAUCGGAAGGAACACCUGUGGCGAAAGCGGCUCACUGGACCAUAACUGACGCUGAUGCACGAAAGCUAGGGGAGCAAACAGG
rnacentral:rRNA from 1 species